GCCAAUCUAUAUUACACCUUUUAUUAAAGUCUAUGUGUUUAAAUUCGUCAUCAAGGUUUACCCUGAUAAUUGUUCAAUCACAAUAAAUUCGUCUAUGGGAAAUGUCGGUUGUAUUCAUUGUGUUUGGACACUAAUUAUCACGGGCAAAGAUUUGGUAUGAAAACGGGCUAUUAUCCAUAUAAACACCUUGUUCACAUUAACGAUCUUCAGAAACCUUAAAUCACGUUUACAUAAAAAAUCUCUACCCUUGUAAACCCUAAUUAUUGACCAAUAAAUUUACAGCCAGUUCCACGAUAUCGAAAGAACACGUUCGCACAACUUUUACACGACAAACAGCUGAUUUCCGUUCCACUAAAAUCUAUCAGAACGAAAAUUUGCACGAAAAUCAAAGCGAACGAAAACGUAAGCAUUUCAGUGUAAUUUUGCGUUCCACUAUCUUUUUUCUUUCGUACGCAUGCGAACACAAAUGUCAAAAUCAGUCACUUGUGUGUUUGCUAUCGUAUAAUAACAAUUAAGGAAAAUUGUUUUAACAUAAACAUUGCUUGAUUGAAAAUGGAAACAGAAAUCACGAAAAAAUCAUCAACUACACAGCUGCGGGCACUAGUUGAGUAAAUGGAGGAGAAUCCUGUGUUCGCCAGAGGAAUGCCAAUUUUUGGAAGCAGCAGAAGAAGUUUUAAAUCGGGGCGGACUUGGGUAGUUCUGCAACCGGGCACCCACUUCUCUUCCAUCAUAUCCAAAAGAGCCCGAAAACUUCCUUCGACACACGAAAGUUGGCCACAAACCUAGAAAAAAUCAUUUUUUAUUAUUUCAAAAAUGUAAAAAUACAAUCAUACUUACUGGUUGUUAGGUACUUCAAAUAAAUUCGAAGCAUCUCUUAAA